GGGGGCGACUGGAUUCGACAUAAUAGUUUUGCGAAGGGAAGCAAGCGGUGGUCUCCUCGCCACCUUAAACAGGGGUACAGUCAAAUUAAUUGACAAACAACGCUUCGCACUCGCUGCCUGAUAGUGUAGCGACGUCGACCAUGUGUGGUUCCCCGCCACAUGCGAGACGCCAUUUAGGGGAAUGCUCCUGUGCACGUAGCUGGUAUGGCACAGGAUAAGAUUGAACCAACUAGGGAUAGGAUCGUGCGUAUGCAGGCGGCCUUGACCAAAACCUCUCUGUAGACUGAGCUUGGAGAUGCCUUUCAAGAAGCUAGUAUGGACCGGAGUUCGAUUCUCCGCGCCUCCACCA
rnacentral:tmRNA from 1 species